UUUUUCUAUUUUGUUUAUUUUUAUGAAUAAUUUAAUAGGAGAUACUCGUUAAAUGAACUUAGUUUUAGUAUUCAGUUUCCUCUAUAGGUGUUUGAAAUUUUUUCUAGACUGUCAUGUUACUACUAUUUUUUAAAAUUAGAUUCCUUGCAAAAUGUCAAGGAAGCAAGCAGAUUUGGCGUACAUUAGCAAUGUUAGAUGUGCAACACGAUAGAAGCAAGUACUUUGAAUGAGCCCUUGUCUUGGCUUAAGUUAUUAACAUGCGUUAACGCCAUUAAUAUAUAAAAUAUAAGGAACAACUCAACAUCACAAUGAAUAAAAAAAAUGUUAAAUCUGAGUUAUGCAUAUUACAGAUAAUGUCAUCAAUUUUUUUAAAUGCUGUGAACCUAAUAUCGAAGUGAAUAAAAAUAACCUUUAACUAAUACCUCCUAAAAAAUCUGAGUAAAACGUUCCAGUUUUAACCAUUGUACUCUAACACCAAAUGACGCUCUACCACUGUUUCUUUCCCAACUUCCUCUUCUCCUUCAAAUCGAAGUUUACAUGAUCCAUCAGGCAGAGUGCGAAUGACUUCUGCCCGAUAAAACGUAGUAGUUUCAGGAUAUCGAGCUAAAACAUUUGUUUUUGGGCUUAUUGGGGGUAAAGGAGUUCCUUUUGCAGGAAUUUGUAUAAGAUGAUUAGCUGUAGUUUUAUAAAUUUGACCUGCAUUACCGUCAUCAUCCGGUUCUGGAUCCUGCACUUCAAAUCUAUGGUUUUGUUAAUAUACUGGUAAAAAAAUAUUAUCAACAUAUAAGCUUAGAAGUAAAUUUGAACUCGCGACUGACAAUAUUUGCUUUUGAAAACUCACCUCUGUUUUGCUCCUUCUCCAGUCACUUUAAUAAUGAUACAUUGAAUCCAAUCACCUCCCUCGUUAUGCCUCGUGUAUGGUAACUUGAAAGCUACAGACAUGCCAGGUGUAAAGGUUACUGUAUUUGCUGUAAAGCUUGUUCCUCGGUUUCGACGACUUCUCGUCAAAGGACUAUUUGUAAUUACAGGUUUUUCAUUGGCUUUUUCGAGUACAUUAAUAAUCAUCUCAAGAGAUUGCAUUGUAUGCUCCAAUUCUUUUUUCUGUUCUUCAGAGGUUUGAAUUCCCGCGUCACACGCUUUAAUUCUUUCUUCAAUUGGAUUAUCGUCGCCAUCAACCGUUUUAUAACAUUCUUCUUGUUUUAUUAAACUAGACCGAAUGGGAUUUAGGCUUUCAUGAAAUUUAACCCACAUGGAUGUCACAUCCUCUUCAGCAUUUAUGGGGCGUACCAUAAUAUCCUGUAACUGAUAUUCUCAAACAACACUUUUCAUCAUCCAAUUUCCUUUGGUAGGUGCUAACUCACUUACUAGAUUGAUUUGCAUGAUACUAUCAGCUAUGCAAAUUACUUUAUUACAAAUUUCAUUAACACUCGAUAUUGUAUUUACCGUAUCGUUGCUGCAUUAGGUUACGUAGUUAACUAUUCACUUAAGUCAUGGAAUACUGUCUGUUAACGAAGUUCGUUAAACGAUUCUCGUUUAGCAACGACUCUAAAUACUGUAUGUCGUAUAUUUCCUGCUAGAAUACAUCAAUUCCGAUUGUUAUACUGUUGAAACUACAAAUCCCAAAAAAUUCAAUAUCACAAUGAAAGCUCUAGUUCGAAUCAUGUUUUGCUUCAAUCCUAGCUAGCACUGUUAAAGUAUAGAUAUAAGAAAGGACAGCUUUGUUGAUAGACUAGUUAAAUUAAAAUAAAAACAGUUAAA